AUUGAACGCUGGCGGCAGGCCUAACACAUGCAAGUCGAGCGGAUGAAGGGAGCUUGCUCCUGGAUUCAGCGGCGGACGGGUGAGUAAUGCCUAGGAAUCUGCCUGGUAGUGGGGGAUAACGUCCGGAAACGGGCGCUAAUACCGCAUACGUCCUGAGGGAGAAAGUGGGGGAUCUUCGGACCUCACGCUAUCAGAUGAGCCUAGGUCGGAUUAGCUAGUUGGUGGGGUAAAGGCCUACCAAGGCGACGAUCCGUAACUGGUCUGAGAGGAUGAUCAGUCACACUGGAACUGAGACACGGGCCAGACUCCUACGGGAGGCAGCAGUGGGGAAUAUUGGACAAUGGGCGAAAGCCUGAUCCAGCCAUGCCGCGUGUGUGAAGAAGGUCUUCGGAUUUUAAAGCACUUUAAGUUGGGAGGAAGGGCAGUAAGUUAAUACCUUGCUGUUUUGACGUUACCAACAGAAUAAGCACCGGCUAACUUCGUG
rnacentral:rRNA from 1 species